GCUUCCCCGCCCGGCCGCCGCCAUGAUGAGGAGGUCGGCGCGGCUGUGCUGCGGGCAGGCAGCGGAGAGGGCUCGCGGCGAGGGCUCCAGCUUACCCCGCCGCCGCGUCGCGUGCACGGAGCGCUUCAGAGGUUUGGAGGGGGCCGGAACCUCAAAAGCAACUGGAUGAGCACAACGCGGACGCCCCGGAGAAGCGGCGCAAGCGGGCCCAAAAUGGUUGCUGAUCAGACGAGUGGCAUCUCUCGCCCCCCUACCGCGGGAAUUGGGACCUCCAGACUGUGCCUGGGGGAUCGGCAAGUGGUUCCCCUCUGGUUUUUUCGGCGCUGCCUUCCCGGUGGUAUCCUCACUCUCUCUCUUUGAAAUGACCUCUGCUUUCCUAUCUCUAACUCUUCCCAGAUAUUUGAAAGCAAGUUUUUGUACAAAGCAACAUAUGAAUGUAUUCAGCCAUUCGAUCGUUCGGCGAACAUUUCUAGGUGUCUCGUGCUGUGCCAGAUAUUGUUCUGAGUGCGCUGAAGAUGCACCUGUUAGCAAGACAAAGUCCUGGCUCCCACGGAGCUUAUUCGAAGCAAUAGGGGCCCCCAAGCAGGUUGGAGAUGGCUGGAAGAAAUGAAAAGAAGAACGCCAACAAAGGCGAUAAAGAAAAAUUCAACACUGCUUGAUAACUGAUGAGAUAGUGAAGGAGUAGGAGGGCAAAAGUCAGAAGUAAUUCCAGGUGUUCAAGAACUAAAUGCUGAAGAGAUGUUAGUGUCGUUGACGGUCUUCUAAUGGGAAGUGAAUUUCAAUAGAAAGAGGAUGUGUUUGGUUUCAGACAGACCGAGUGACUGGUGACAACAGGAAAGCCACGUGUUUGGAGCAGAUUACUCGGUACAGUCAGCAGCUGGAAUGGAAGUGAAGAAGGCCCAGCAGAGCAUCAGACCUGAGUGCAAACUAUGGUGGUGUUGGUGGAAUAGAGGGAAGGGAGAGAUUUGAGAGACAUUGGGAAGAAAGGUUUUGGUUUUUGAGACAGAGUCUUGCCCUGUCAUCCAGGCUGGAGUGCAGUGGCAUAAUCUUGGCUUACAGCAAACUCCACCUCCCGGGUUCAAGCAAUUAUCAUGCCUCAGCCCCCUAAGUAGCUGGAAUUACAGGCAAGUGCCACCACAUUCAGCUAAUUUUUGUAUUUUUAGUAGAGACAGGGUUUCACCAUCUUAGCCAGGCUGGUCUCAAACUCCUGACCUCAGGUGAUCCACCUGCCUCGGCCUCCCAAAGUGCCGGGAUUACAGGUGUGAGUCACCAUGCCCAGCCACCAGAAGUUUAAUCAAGGCUCAGAGACUGAUUCCAGUUUGAGUUUUCUAAUAACUGUCUAAUACUUAGCUAAUAGCUUUGGACAGUUGCUCUUUUUAAAAUGAGAUCAUUCAAUCAUUGCAUUCAUCUUUGGGUAUGACUCACUAGUCAACAGAGUCCCCCUUCUGUAGAAACUGCCUCAUUCACAGAGAUGACCUCCACCAGUCAUGCCUAUAUUUGAGACCCUGUCUCUCUUUAUCCCCCAUUGCUGCGUGAUUCAAGGGUGGUCACCUGACCCAGGCAGUGCCAAGUUUAUUCUCUGUCUUGGGAAUUUAGAAUGUUUGUUUGGCUAAGAGACACAGAAACUGGAAGCUGGAGCUGAUGAUGGAGCUGAUCACGCUAAUGAUGGAGCUAUAGAGAUAAGAUGCAUGAACACCACCGAGGUCCCCAAGAUUGCCAUAUUCCUGCAGUGCCUUCUGGCCACAGAUAGUUGGUCCAGAAGCAGGUUCCUGACUCAACCUGGGCCAAUUAGAGCCUUUCACGGAGAUUUUGAAAUCAAAGUUGAGAUCUCUCUUUCUCUCUAUGCCCUUUGGUGUAUGUGUACUUGAGCUACAAGUUACCCAACUUUGGAAGCUGUAGACAGAGGCAAUUUUCCACUAAAUGAAGUGAGAAACAGAAAGUCCAUCAUUAGUGAGAGAGGAGCAAGGCAGAUGCACACAGAGAAGCAGAUAGAGGGGAAGCGGGCGGGAGUGGGGCGGGAGUUCCUGGAGUCCCCACAGUGCUCUAGUUUCUGAUUCUCUUCCUAAGACCCACAGGAUUCCUGCCUUUGGGUUUCUUAAGUUCCUGAAUAGCUCCUGAUUGCCUUUGUCUUUUUUACGAAAGUCCUUUGAGCAUGGUUUCAGGUGAGCAGACAGUCCUAACCUAAAGAGCUGUAACAAAUACACGUGGGCUGUGUGUGAGAUUCGGGGAGAGGCACCAGGGAUCCAGUGUGGGUCAGGCGUGGUGCCGCCCUCAAGGAACUUAGUGGGGAGAAAAUGAAGUCUGUACUUCAAUAACUACAGUGCAGGCUAGGAAGAGAACACCCUUAGAGAUGUGCAAAUCAAGCUCUUUGGGAGUUUAGAGGAGGCCUAGGACUGCUAAGGAAAGGCUGGGACUAGGAAGAGGUAAGCAAGUCACUGAGGAGGCAAAAUUUAAGAAGCCACCCACUCUCAGGGUGUGUGAAUGCAGCGUUGGCACUUGCAUGACCCUGAGAAUGAGCAACCCCUUAAAUGUAUCUUAGGCACCUUGCCAGACUCACUUUUAGCUUGCUGGACUAAUUGUGGGGAUCAGUAGGCCUUCAGAGGAAAGUUAGUGUCUGAGCUGAACUGAAGGAUGGGGUGGUUUUGGACUUGGUGGCAAUGUCAUCUACCUCAAGGUAAAGUAACAAUAUGGAAAACGCUCCCGUGAAAAUUCACAAGGUCUGUUCUAGGAUCAUCAGGCUCUUCGGUGUGACUUAAGAGUUCAGAGCAUGAAGGAGGAGGGGGCAGUAAGAAAAAUGGAGAGAACGUAGCAUCAGAUUCUGCAGGCAAGGAGAAAAUUGCUAAGCUGGGAAAUAACAUAAUCAGAGCGGUACUUAAGAUGAAUCUAACGGAAUAGCAUGAAAUAAAGGAAAGGCUAAGGAGAGGACAAACAGGAGGCUAUUGUGGCAAUCCAGGCGUGAAAGUCUAAACUAAUCAGCACUGGGAAUAGAGAUGCCAUAGGAAAAAUAAUACAUCAUUAAUAUAACUUGGCAAUUGAGUAGAUGUUGGAGACAAGAGAGAAAUCAGAAACACUGCUAAACACUAUGCAGCUAUAACAAAGAAUGAGAGAGCAUUCAGUAAGAUCACAUCCAAGAUAUGUACAUGAAAAACACAAGGGAUAGAACUGUGUAUAUGGCAAGCUAUCACUUGCAUUUUUUAUUUUUUAAAUGGUAUUUAUUUAUUUCUUGUUUUUUCCUUUUUUUAAGACUAAAAAAUCAAUUAUAAAAUCCUCAACCACUUGACUUUUUUUUUAAGUUCCUGGGUACAUGUGCAGGACGUACAGGUUUAUUAUAUAGGUAAACGUGUGCUAUGGUGGUUUGCUGCACCUAUCAACCCAUCACCUAGGUUUAAGCCCCGCAUGCAUUAGCUCUUUUCCCUAGUGCUCUUCCCCCACCAUCCUCCCCUGACAGGCCCCGGUAAGUGUUGUUCCCCUCCCUGUGUUCUCAUUGUUCAGCUCCCACUUAUAAGUGAGAACAUGUAAUGUUUGGUUUUCUAUUCCUGCAUUAGUUUGCUAAGGAUAAUGGCUUCCAGCUCCAUUUAUGUCCCUGUAAAGGACAUGAUCUUGUUUUUUUAUGGCUGCGUAGUAUUCCAUGGUGUAUAUGUACCACAUUUUCUUUAUUCAGUCUAUCAUUGAUGGGCAUUUGGGUUGAUUCCAUGUCUUUGCUAUUGUGAAUAGUGCUGCAAUGAACAUACGUGUACAUGUAUCUUUAUAACAGAGUGAUUUAUAUUCCUUUGGGUAUACACCCUGUAAUGGGAUUGCUGGGUCAAAUGGUAUUUCCAGUUCUAAAUCUUUGAGGAAUCGCCACACUGUCUUCCACAAUGGUUGAACUAAUUUACAUUCCCACGAACAGUGUAAAAGCAUUCCUAUUUCUCUGCAAUCUCACCAGCAUCUGUCAUUUCUUGACUUUUUAAUAAUCGCCAUUCUGACUGGUGUAAGAUGGUAUCUCAUUGUGGUUUUGAUUUGCAUUUCUCUUUUUUUUUUUUUUUUUUUUUGAGACAGUUUCAAAAACUUGUUGCCAAGGCUGGAGUGCAAUGGUGUGAUCUUGGCUCACUACAACCUCUGCCUCCUGGGUUCAAGUGAUUCUUCUGCCUCAGCCUCCCAAGUAGCUAGGAUUACAGGUGUAUGCCACCACGCCCAGCUAAUUUUUGUAUUUUUACUAGAGACGGGGUUUCACUAUGUUGGCCAGGCUGAUCUUGAACUCCUGACCUCAAGAGAUCUGCCCACCUCCGCCUCCCAAAGUGCAGGGAUUACAGGCGUAAGCUUCCACGCCCAGCUGAUGGUAGUUUCUUUUGCUAUGCAUAAGCUCUUUAGUUUAAUUAGAUCCCAUUUGUUGAAUUUUGCUUUUGUUGCGAUUGUUUUUGGCAAUUUUAUCAUAAAAUCUUUGCCCAUUCCUAUGUCCUGAAUGGUAUUGUCUAGAUUUUCUUCUAGGGUUUUUGUAGUUUGGGGUUUUACAUUUAAGGCUUUAAUCCAUCUUGAGUUAAUUUUUGUAUAAAGGUGUAAGGAAAGGAUCGAGUUUCAGUUUUCUGCAUAUGGCUAGCCAGUUCUCCCAUCACCAUUUAUUAAACAGGAAAUCCUUUCCCCAUUGCUUGUUUUGGUUUGUCAAAGAUCAGAUGGUUGUAGAUGUGCGAUUUUAUAUGUGCUGCCAAAGUGAGCACUAUUUAUUUAUUUUUUUAAACAGAGUCUCACUGUGUUGCCCAGGCUGGAGUGCAGUGGCAUGAACAUAGCUCACGUAGCCUUAUUUGCAUUUGUAAAAGGGAAAUAUGUUUUGUUUUGUUUUUUGAGACAGAGACUCACUCAGUCGCCCAGGCUGGAGUGCAGUGGCACCAUCAUGGCUCACCACAGUCUCAACCUCCCCAGGCUCAGGUGAUUCUUCCACCUCAGCCUCUGGAGUAGCUAGGAUUACAGGUGUGCGCCACUACACCCAGAUAAUUUUUUUUUUCUUGAGAUGGUGUCUCGCUCUGUCACCCAGGGCUGGAGUGCAAUGGUGUGAUCUCGGCUCACUGCAACCUCCGCCUCCCAGGUUCAAGUGAUUCUCCUACCUCAGCCUCCCAAGUAACUGGGACUACAGGCACCUGCCACCACACCCAGCUACUUUCUGUAUUUAUAGUAGAGAUGGGGUUUCGCCAUGUUGGCCAGACUGAUCUUGAACUCCUGACCUCAGGUGAUCCACCCGCCUCAGCCCCCCAAAGUGCUGGGGUUACAGGCACAAGCCACCGUGCCUGGCCCUUUUUUUUUUUUUUUUGUAUUUUUUUAGUAGAGACGGUGUUUCACUGUGUUGUCCAUGUUAGUCUUAAACUCUUGGGCUCAAGAGAUCUGCCCAACUUGGCUUCCCAAAGUGCCAUAAAGGCAUGAGCCACUGCACCUGGCCAUAAAAAGGAAAUAUGUAAACAAACAUCUUUGCUUACAUAUGUUUAUAUAUCCCUAGAGAAAUACGUACAAAAUUGAUGACAUUAAGUGGCCUGUUUAAGAGAAGUGGGGUGGCUGGGGGUCAGUAGUGAAAGAGAGUCUUUUUAGUGUUUAUAAUUUGAAUAUUUUAAAUCUUGAACCUUUUGGAUGAAUUAGCUAAUGAAGAAAAUUAGUUUAAAUUGCUUUUAAAAAUAAAUAAGUAUGAGCCGGGUGCGGGGGCUCAUGCCUGUAAUCCCAGCACUUUGGGAGGCUGAGGCGGGCGGAUCAUCUGAGGUCAGGAGUUCGAGACCAGCAUGGCCAACAUGGUGAAACCCCGUCUCUACUAAAAAUACAAAAAUCAGCCAGGUCUGGUGGCAGGCGUCUGUAAUCCCAGCUACUCAGGAGGUUGAGGCAGGAGAAUCGCCUGAACCUGGGAGGUGGAGGUUGCAGUGAACUGAGAUCACGCCAUUGCACUCCAGCCUGGGUGACAAGGGCGAGACUUCAUCUCAAGAAUAAAUAAAUAGGCCAGGCACGGUGGCUUACGCCUGUGAUCCCAGCACUUUGGGAGGCCGAGGCGGGCGGUUCACAAGGUCAGGAGAUCGAGACCAUCCUGGCUAACAUGGUGAAACCCCGUCCUACGAAAAAUAGAAAAAAAUUAGCCAGGUGUGGUGGCGGGCGCCUCCCAGCUACUGGGGAGGCUGAGGCAGGAGAAUGGCGUGAACCCAGGAGGCAGAGCUUGCAGUGAGCCAAGAUCACUCCACUGCACUCCAGCCUGGACGACAGAGCGAGACUCCGUCUCAAACAAACAAUAAAAAUAAAUAAAUAAAUAAAUAAAAUAAUUAAUAAAUAAAUAAAUAAAUAUGUAAUCCCAGCACAUUGGGAGGUCAAGGAGGGUGGAUCAUCUGAGGUCAGGAGUUCGAGACCAGCCUGGCCCAGAUGGUGAAACCCCGUCUGUACUAAAAACAUGAAAUUAGCUGGCUGUGGUGCUGCAUGCCUGUAAUCCCAGCUACCAGGAGGCUGAGGCGGGAGAAUUGCUUGAACCCGGGAGGUGGAGGUUGGAGGUGGAGGUGGCAAUGAGCUGAGAUCACGCCAUUGCACUCCAUCCUGGGUGAUAGAGCCAGACUCCAUCUCGAAAAAAAAAAAAAAAAGACAUAAAUAAAUAAAUAACCCCAAAGCCCAAAUACGAUACUGAAGUAUGGAGCUGAGUGACAGUAGCUCCAUUAACAAAAAUAAAGAACUCAGGAAGGGAAGUGCACUUGAGAAAAAUAAUGAUGUGUUUGGCUUGGGAUAUACAGAGUCUGAGAUGCCAGUUGUACAUACAUAAAAGAGAAGAAGCCCAUAAGCAACGGAGGAGGGCAAGCAAUCCAAUAGGAAGUUUGAAACAGCUUUGUCGGAAUAGUUACUGUGGAGUGGUGCGAGCAAAAGCCAGAAUUCAAGAGGCAGCAGGAUGAAGGGAAAGUGGGAAUGUAUUGGUAACUAGAGUAGUGUCCUUUAAGAGUGGUGGAUGGAAAGGGAGUGAUGGAGAGGUUGUGAUAGCUAGCGAAAGCUUGGGAUCAAGGCAGCAUGUAUGUAUUGGGCAUGAGGGAGAUUGAACCUAGUUAGAGGCUUCUGGAAAGGAAUCAGUAGAAAAAGAGGUUGAAGUGAUGUUUUUUGUUUUGUUUUUUAAAAAAAGAGAAUUAUGAAUGCAGGGGGUUAGAAAACAAAAAACAAGGGGAAGAAAUUGAUGGAGGAAGCGUUCUAAGGUGAGAAAGCACAAAAAUGGCGGGGGACUGAAAGGAUGUGGGGCACCUCCACGUUUGAGAGACUGGAGGGGAAGAAGGAAGGACAGGAGAGGGUGUGGACUUGAGUGUUUGCAGGGGCCCUGGGAGGGAGAGAGAUGUCAGGCUGGUUGGUCCCUGCUUUUCUAUGAGGCAAGAAACAAAGUCAUCUGCUGGAAGGGCCCCCCACCGCCAGUCAACAGGGAGCGGGCAGCAAUGGCGAAGGUGUGGAACAGGCCUUGUGGAGGGAGAAGGUGCCAAACAAGGGCAGGCAAGGGAGCUGACCGCCAGCGUUGAGGACCCAGCUGAAACUAGGACCCACUCAGAUAUGUUGACACCAGUUGACAUGGCUCAUGCUUUCUGGAAACUUCAACAGCAGACCACAGACAUUCAGGUGGCUAACGCAUACUUUUGUUUGCUUGUUUUGAGCUUUCUGUUCUGUUAAGUGUCAACUUAGGGUUUUCUUGCUGGUUGGUUGGUUGGUUGGUUUUUCUAAUUAUGGUAAAAUAUAUUGUAUUAGUUUUCUAGGGCUGCCUUAAAAUCCCACAAACUGGGUGGCUUACACAACAGAAAUGUAUUCUCUCACAGUUCAGGAGGCUGGAAGUCUGACAUCAGGUGUCAACAGGGUUGGUUUCUCCUAAGGCCCCUCUCCUUGGCUUGCAGACACAACCUUCUAACUGUGCACGUGCAUGUCUGGUAUCUCCUUCCCUCUCCCUCUCUCUCCCUUUGUGUCCCAG
rnacentral:lncRNA from 1 species